rnacentral:rRNA from 1 species
UACAGAGGGCGCAAGCGUUAAUCGGAAUUACUGGGCGUAAAGCGCGCGUAGGCCGUCGAGUAAGUCGGAUGUGAAAACCCCGGGCUUAACCUGGGAAUUGCAUUCGAUACUGCUUGACUAGAGUGUGGAAGAGGGAAGCGGAAUUUCCGGUGUAGCGGUGAAAUGCGUAGAUAUCGGAAGGAACACCAGUGGCGAAGGCGGCUUCCUGGUCCAACACUGACGCUGAGGCGCGAAAGCGUGGGGAGCGAACAGG